UACGUAGGGUGCAAGCGUUAAUCGGAAUUACUGGGCGUAAAGCGUGCGCAGGCGGUUUUGUAAGUCUGUCGUGAAAUCCCCGGGCUCAACCUGGGAAUUGCGAUGGAGACUGCAAGGCUAGAAUCUGGCAGAGGGGGGUAGAAUUCCACGUGUAGCAGUGAAAUGCGUAGAGAUGUGGAGGAACACCGAUGGCGAAGGCAGCCCCCUGGGUCAAGAUUGACGCUCAUGCACGAAAGCGUGGGGAGCCAAACGAG
rnacentral:rRNA from 1 species